rnacentral:rRNA from 1 species
UACAGAGGGUGCGAGCGUUAAUCGGAAUUACUGGGCGUAAAGCGCGCGUAGGCGGCUUUUCAAGUCGAUUGUGAAAUCCCCGGGCUUAACCUGGGAACUGCAGUCGAGACUGUCUAGCUAGAGUAUGGGAGAGGGAAGUGGAAUUUCAGGUGUAGCGGUGAAAUGCGUAGAUAUCUGAAGGAACAUCAGUGGCGAAAGCGACUUCCUGGACCAAUACUGACGCUGAGGAGCGAAAGCCAGGGGAGCAAACGGG